UGGAAACUGGAGGGGAGACUGAUGCAGUGGUCCAGGCAGAGAAUGGUGUUGGCUUGGCCUGGGAGGUGAGACUGGCAAAGAUGGAGAGAAGUAAAGAGAUUCCAGGAGUAUUUUGGGGUUAGGAUUGAUAAGCCUUGGCUGUGGAUGGUGCAUGUAAGUGAGGGCAGCAGAGGGAGGUGUCUGGGAUGACGCCCAGGAUUUUAGUUCCAGCGUCAGGCUUCUUGGAAAUGCCAGCAACUGAGAUGGUGACGCUGGGGGGAGGAUGGACUGAAAAUUCUAAUUUGGACGUGUUGAGUUUGAGAUGUCGGUAAGACACAGAGGUGCAAAUGUCCAGGAGGCUGUUGUAGUUAAAAAAAGCCUCGUGUUAAGGAAGGUUUAAGCUUGGAGACAAGGAUUUAUGGAGAGUAGAAACAGCUGGGUCAAUGUUGGAGGACCAGAGGCCUGCAGUUGGGUGGAGCUCCCUGGGGCCCACGUGGUGGAGCAAAGAAAACCCAAGAGAGAAGUUAGAUGGGGAAGGAGAACCUCAUGGAAGACAGGACAGCUUGGUCCAGCCACCCUCUGCUACUGCUUGCAGAGUCUGCUGCCCAACUAGGAUUUUGGCGCCUCUGUCCUGCUGUAGUGUCCCACCUGGUCGCCCGUUCCCUUCUGCCUGGGCGCUCUUCCCAUCUUCACCUGGACAAUCCCCUGCGUGCUUCUGAUCUCAGGCCACAGGCUGCUUCCUUAGGGAAGCCUCUCGCAGUCCUUGAAGACGGAGGCAGAGGGAGAUUUGACACAGAAGAGAAUGUGAUGUGAGCAGAGAUUGAAGAGAUAAUUUUGCUCUUUGAAGAUGAAGGAGGCAGCCAGCAGCCAAGGAAUCCAGUUGGCCAAUGGGAACUGAAGAAGACAAGGAAACAGAUUCUCCCUUCAGAGGCUCCAGAAGGAACCAGCCCUGCCAACACCUUGACUUUAGUCCAGUGAAACUGAUUUUGGAUUUCUGACCUCAAGAACAGCAGAGAAUAAAUCUGUGUUGUUUAAACCACUGAGUCUGUGGCAACUUGUUUCAAUGGUAAUAGCAAAGAAACAUAUUACCCUAAAGUAGUCAAUG